GCGGUAGCACAGGGAGCUUGCUCCUGGGUGACGAGCGGCGGACGGGUGAGUAAUGUCUGGGAAACUGCCCGAUGGAGGGGGAUAACUACUGGAAACGGUAGCUAAUACCGCAUAACGUCUUCGGACCAAAGUGGGGGACCUUCGGGCCUCACACCAUCGGAUGUGCCCAGAUGGGAUUAGCUAGUAGGUGAGGUAAUGGCUCACCUAGGCGACGAUCCCUAGCUGGUCUGAGAGGAUGACCAGCCACACUGGAACUGAGACACGGUCCAGACUCCUACGGGAGGCAGCAGUGGGGAAUAUUGCACAAUGGGCGCAAGCCUGAUGCAGCCAUGCCGCGUGUGUGAAGAAGGCCUUCGGGUUGUAAAGCACUUUCAGCGAGGAGGAAGGGUUCAGUGUUAAUAGCACUGUUCAUUGACGUUACUCGCAGAAGAAGCACCGGCUAACUCCGUGCCAGCAGCCGCGGUAAUACGGAGGGUGCAAGCGUUAAUCGGAAUUACUGGGCGUAAAGCGCACGCAGGCGGUUUGUUAAGUCAGAUGUGAAAUCCCCGAGCUUAACUUGGGAACUGCAUUUGAAACUGGCAAGCUAGAGUCUUGUAGAGGGGGGUAGAAUUCCAGGUGUAGCGGUGAAAUGCGUAGAGAUCUGGAGGAAUACCGGUGGCGA
rnacentral:rRNA from 1 species